CAACUCUAGCCUAAGAAACAAUAACUGAUGCAUACCAUAAAUUAAUGAUUUUUCUUUUUCCCUUAAUAAGUUAGAGAGAAUUCAAGAUUAUCACUAGGAUAAAACUGUUACUUCACACCAAAAGGUCAAGUGAUUUCUUGAGGGACAAGACAGAAAAGUUGUCUAAUGAAUCAGAAGUUCUAAGCAAGUGGAAGGUAAGGAGAGGGGUUGAGUUGGGGCAAAAAGUACUUCUCUAGUGUCAUGACGAAGUUCAAGUAUUGUUUGACUGGACCUUGGGACAGCUGGUUAAAUAUUGUCUCUGGAUGUCUCCUGGAGGCUAGCAUUUGAAUGGUGAACUGAGGAAAUCGGAUGGCCUUCCAUUGCGGGUUCUCCGCACAAGAUGUACAGCCUGGGGAAAGGGGGCUGGAUCGAGGUAAUCCUGAGACAAUCCUGCUGUGUACACUGACAACUGGGCAGUCUCCACCAUGGAAAAAUAUUUUGCACAUCUCUCCUGGCGGAAAGGGAAUGAGAAGACUGCCUACGUGA
rnacentral:lncRNA from 1 species